rnacentral:rRNA from 1 species
CCUACGGGAGGCAGCAGUGAGGAAUAUUGGUCAAUGGGCUUACGCCUGAACCAGCCAAGUCGCGUGAGGGAAGACUGCCCUAUGGGUUGUAAACCUCUUUUGUCAGGGAGCAACGCCGGCUACGUGUAGCCGGACUGAGAGUACCUGAAGAAAAAGCAUCGGCUAACUCCGUGCCAGCAGCCGCGGUAAUACGGAGGGUGCGAGCGUUAUCCGGAUUUAUUGGGGUUAAAGGGUGCGUAGUGGGGAUGCCAAGUCAGCGGUGAAAUCCCCGGGCUCCACCUCGGAUCUGCUGUGGAAACUGGAUGGCUGGAGUGGGCGAGAGGUAUGCGGAAUGCGUGGUGUAGCGGUGAAAUGCAUAGAUAUUACGAGGAACUCCGGUUGCGAAGGCAGCAUACUGGAGAGUAACUGACGUUGAAGCACGAAAGCGUGGGGAGCGAACAGGAUUAGAUACCCUUGUAGUC